GGCGGAAUGCUUUACACAUGCAAGUCGAACGGCAGCAUAGAGAGCUUGCUCUCUGAUGGCGAGUGGCGAACGGGUGAGUAAUAUAUCGGAACGUGCCUAGUAAUGGGGAAUAACUAGCUGAAAGGUUAGCUAAUGCCGCAUACGACCUACGGGUGAAAGCAGGGGAUCUUCGGACCUUGCGUUAUUAGAGCGGCCGAUAUCUGAUUAGCUUGUUGGUGGGGUAAUGGCCUACCAAGGCGACGAUCAGUAGCUGGUCUGAGAGGACGAUCAGCCACACUGGAACUGAGACACGGUCCAGACUCCUACGGGAGGCAGCAGUGGGGAAUUUUGGACAAUGGGGGCAACCCUGAUCCAGCCAUUCCGCGUGAGUGAAGAAGGCCUUCGGGUUGUAAAGCUCUUUCGCAAGAGAAGAAAACUUGCUAUCUAAUAAAUAGUAAGUAUGACGGUAUCUUGACAAGAAGCACCGGCUAACUACGUGCCAGCAGCCGCGGUAAUACGUAGGGUGCAAGCGUUAAUCGGAAUUACUGGGCGUAAAGCGUGCGCAGGCAGUUUUAUAAGUCAGAUGUGAAAUCCCCGAGCUCAACUUGGGAACUGCGUUUGAAACUGUAAGACUAGAGUGUGUCAGAGGGGGGUAGAAUUCCAAGUGUAGCAGUGAAAUGCGUAGAGAUUUGGAGGAAUACCAAUGGCGAAGGCAGCCCCCUGGGAUAACACUGA
rnacentral:rRNA from 1 species